rnacentral:rRNA from 1 species
GGUUAAGCGACUAAGCGUACACGGUGGAUGCCCUGGCAGUCAGAGGCGAUGAAGGACGUGCUAAUCUGCGAAAAGCGUCGGUAAGGUGAUAUGAACCGUUAUAACCGGCGAUGUCCGAAUGGGGAAACCCAGUGCAAUUCGUUGCACUAUCGUUAACUGAAUACAUAGGUUAACGAGGCGAACCGGGGGAACUGAAACAUCUAAGUACCCCGAGGAAAAGAAAUCAACCGAGAUUCCCCCAGUAGCGGCGAGCGAACGGGGAGCAGCCCAGAGUCUGAAUCAGCUUGUGUGUUAGUGGAACGGUCUGGAAAGUCCGACGGUACAGGGUGAUAGUCCCGUACACCAAAAUGCACAGGCUGUGAACUCGAAGAGUAGGGCGGGACACGUGGUAUCCUGUCUGAAUAUGGGGGGACCAUCCUCCAAGGCUAAAUACUCCUGACUGACCGAUAGUGAACCAGUACCGUGAGGGAAAGGCGAAAAGAACCCCGGCGAGGGGAGUGAAAAAGAACCUGAAACCGUGUACGUACAAGCAGUGGGAGCACCUUCGGGUGUGACUGCGUACCUUUUGUAUAAUGGGUCAGCGACUUAUAUUCUGUAGCAAGGUUAACCGUAUAGGGGAGCCGCAGGGAAACCGAGUCUUAACUGGGCGUUAAGUUGCAGGGUAUAGACCCGAAACCCGGUGAUCUAGCCAUGGGCAGGUUGAAGGUUGGGUAACACUAACUGGAGGACCGAACCGACUAAUGUUGAAAAAUUAGCGGAUGACUUGUGGCUGGGGGUGAAAGGCCAAUCAAACCGGGAGAUAGCUGGUUCUCCCCGAAAGCUAUUUAGGUAGCGCCUCGUGAAUUCAUCUUCGGGGGUAGAGCACUGUUUCGGCUAGGGGGUCAUCCCGACUUACCAACCCGAUGCAAACUACGAAUACCGAAGAAUGUUAUCACGGGAGACACACGGCGGGUGCUAACGUCCGUCGUGAAGAGGGAAACAACCCAGACCGCCAGCUAAGGUCCCAAAGUCAUGGUUAAGUGGGAAACGAUGUGGGAAGGCACAGACAGCCAGGAUGUUGGCUUAGAAGCAGCCAUCAUUUAAAGAAAGCGUAAUAGCUCACUGGUCGAGUCGGCCUGCGCGGAAGAUGUAACGGGGCUAAACCAUGCACCGAAGCUGCGGCAGCGACACUAUGUGUUGUUGGGUAGGGGAGCGUUCUGUAAGCCUGCGAAGGUGUGCUGUGAGGCAUGCUGGAGGUAUCAGAAGUGCGAAUGCUGACAUAAGUAACGAUAAAGCGGGUGAAAAGCCCGCUCGCCGGAAGACCAAGGGUUCCUGUCCAACGUUAAUCGGGGCAGGGUGAGUCGACCCCUAAGGCGAGGCCGAAAGGCGUAGUCGAUGGGAAACAGGUUAAUAUUCCUGUACUUGGUGUUACUGCGAAGGGGGGACGGAGAAGGCUAUGUUAGCCGGGCGACGGUUGUCCCGGUUUAAGCAUGUAGGCUGGUUGUCCAGGCAAAUCCGGAUAAUCAAGGCUGAGGUGUGAUGACGAGGCACUACGGUGCUGAAGUAACAAAUGCCCUGCUUCCAGGAAAAGCCUCUAAGCAUCAGGUAACAUUAAAUCGUACCCCAAACCGACACAGGUGGUCAGGUAGAGAAUACCAAGGCGCUUGAGAGAACUCGGGUGAAGGAACUAGGCAAAAUGGUGCCGUAACUUCGGGAGAAGGCACGCUGGUGUGUAGGUGAAGUCCCUGCGGAUGGAGCUGAGACCAGUCGAAGAUACCAGCUGGCUGCAACUGUUUAUUAAAAACACAGCACUGUGCAAACACGAAAGUGGACGUAUACGGUGUGACGCCUGCCCGGUGCCGGAAGGUUAAUUGAUGGGGUUAUCCGUAAGGAGAAGCUCUUGAUCGAAGCCCCGGUAAACGGCGGCCGUAACUAUAACGGUCCUAAGGUAGCGAAAUUCCUUGUCGGGUAAGUUCCGACCUGCACGAAUGGCGUAAUGAUGGCCAGGCUGUCUCCACCCGAGACUCAGUGAAAUUGAACUCGCUGUGAAGAUGCAGUGUACCCGCGGCAAGACGGAAAGACCCCGUGAACCUUUACUAUAGCUUGACACUGAACAUUGAGCCUUGAUGUGUAGGAUAGGUGGGAGGCUUUGAAGCGUGGACGCCAGUCUGCGUGGAGCCAACCUUGAAAUACCACCCUUUAAUGUUUGAUGUUCUAACGUUGGCCCCUUACCGGGGUUGCGGACAGUGUCUGGUGGGUAGUUUGACUGGGGCGGUCUCCUCCCAAAGCGUAACGGAGGAGCACGAAGGUUAGCUAAUCCUGGUCGGACAUCAGGAGGUUAGUGCAAUGGCAUAAGCUAGCUUGACUGCGAGCGUGACGGCGCGAGCAGGUGCGAAAGCAGGUCAUAGUGAUCCGGUGGUUCUGAAUGGAAGGGCCAUCGCUCAACGGAUAAAAGGUACUCCGGGGAUAACAGGCUGAUACCGCCCAAGAGUUCAUAUCGACGGCGGUGUUUGGCACCUCGAUGUCGGCUCAUCACAUCCUGGGGCUGAAGUAGGUCCCAAGGGUAUGGCUGUUCGCCAUUUAAAGUGGUACGCGAGCUGGGUUUAGAACGUCGUGAGACAGUUCGGUCCCUAUCUGCCGUGGGCGCUGGAGAAUUGAGGGGGGCUGCUCCUAGUACGAGAGGACCGGAGUGGACGCAUCACUGGUGUUCGGGUUGUCAUGCCAAUGGCACUGCCCGGUAGCUAAAUGCGGAAGAGAUAAGUGCUGAAAGCAUCUAAGCACGAAACUUGCCCCGAGAUGAGUUCUCCCUGAGACUUUAAGUCUCCUGAAGGAACGUUGAAGACGACGACGUUGAUAGGCCGGGUGUGUAAGCGCAGCGAUGCGUUGAGCUAACCGGUACUAAUGAACCGUGAGGCUUAACCUU